rnacentral:lncRNA from 1 species
CUGGUCCGGUCAUUGUCGAUGUUGGUCCUGUCAAUCAGCGAUGGUCAUGUCACGUUUUCGAAAGUUUUUGAAAAUAAAUCUAUAUUUUUUAUAACAUUUUGGUUUCAAAAUAUGACAUACCAUUUUAUAUUUCAAAUCUGAAAUAAUUCCUUUGAAAAACAAAAAAGUUAUUAGCAUUUUUAUUUGGUCCUGUCAUUCUCGAUGUUGGUCCUGUCAUUAUCAAAGUUGGUCAUGUCACAUUUUCUAAAGUUUCUUACAAAACUUUUUAUUUUUUUUUCUUAAAUCUUUUUAUCAAAUGAUGAAAUCUUAUUAUAUUUCAAAUUUGAGAUCAAUCCUUUGAGAAAUGAAAAAGUUAUUAGCAUUUUUCAUUUGGUCCUGUCAUUCGGUCCUGUCAUUCGGUCCAGUCAUUAGUGUAACCCA